UAUAAGGGCAAACUAAUGGCAUAUAAACCUCACUCAUUAACAGGGUACAUUUCCCCUUUAAGAGUGGCUCCUGCCUUACACUGUGUGACAUCAGCGCUGUGACAGUUAUUCAGUUGGUUGGCAUUGUAGUGAGAGAUUGCUAUACUGCUGAGCUUCUGUACCUGCGGUUUGUGCGACUUUGAUUGCUAUUUCCGAGCGAUUUUUUGGCUUCCCCUUUAGUUCGAUCAAUUCUAUUCUGGUCUGAGCUUGGGGAAAGCCACUUUCGACUGAGGGUCUCCCUUGGGUGCCCCGGCCUUGUGCCGGUCCUCAAGUGUGAGGAACCCCUCACUAUACGAACCAGAAGAGUUUAACAUCUGGCACUUCUGGUUCCAACGGCACCUUCUGGCACACAUCUUUUAGAGGUGGCUGUACUUUGAGGCAGCAGGAUGCCAGAGGUAAAGGUGCUUUUCGCAGUCCUGGAGGACUACAUUCAUCAACAGACCUUCGAUGAGGCCAUUUAUGGCUACUAUGAACAUCAAUACAUUCGAAGAUUUCCGGACAUCGACGACUGGUAAGUAACAUCAAAAUGAUCUUAUCAAUUAUCUUACCUUUCCCAGAUUAGAUUGUAAGCUCUUUCGGAAAAUUAAAAGGAGCAAAUCCUCUAA